rnacentral:rRNA from 1 species
UAGGGAAUAUUGGACAAUGGGUGCAAGCCUGAUCCAGCCAUGCCGCGUGCAGGAAGAAGGCCUUCUGGGUUGUAAACUGCUUUUGCCAGGGGAUAAAAAGCCCAUGCGUGGGAAAUUGACGGUACCUGGUGAAUACGCCACGGCUAACUACGUGCCAGCAGCCGCGGUAAUACGUAGGUGGCAAGCGUUGUCCGGAUUUAUUGGGUUUAAAGGGUGCGUAGGUGGUCCCUUAAGUCAGUGCUGAAAUAUCCCGGCUUAACCGGGAGGGUGGCAUUGAUACUGAGGGACUUGAGUAAAGUUGAGGUGGGCGGAAUUGACGGUGUAGCGGUGAAAUGCUUAGAUAUCGUCAAGAACACCUAUUGCGAAGGCAGCUCACUAAGCUUUAACUGACACUGAGGCACGAAAGUGUGGGGAUCAAA